rnacentral:rRNA from 1 species
GGUUAAGCGACUAAGCGUACACGGUGGAUGCCCUGGCAGUCAGAGGCGAUGAAGGACGUGCUAAUCUGCGAUAAGCGUCGGUGAGGUGAUAUGAACCGUUAUAACCGGCGAUUUCCGAAUGGGGAAACCCAGUGUGUUUCGACACACUAUCAUUAACUGAAUCCAUAGGUUAAUGAGGCGAACCGGGGGAACUGAAACAUCUAAGUACCCCGAGGAAAAGAAAUCAACCGAGAUUCCCCCAGUAGCGGCGAGCGAACGGGGAGCAGCCCAGAGCCUGAAUCAGUGUGUGUGUUAGUGGAAGCGUCUGGAAAGGCGCGCGAUACAGGGUGACAGCCCCGUACACAAAAAUGCACAUACUGUGAGCUCGAUGAGUAGGGCGGGACACGUGGUAUCCUGUCUGAAUAUGGGGGGACCAUCCUCCAAGGCUAAAUACUCCUGACUGACCGAUAGUGAACCAGUACCGUGAGGGAAAGGCGAAAAGAA